GAUGUGGGGCUCGAACUCACGGACCGCGAGAUCGUGACCUGGCCGAAGUCGGACGCUUAACCGACUGAGCCACCCAGGCGCCCCACGAGGUAGCUUUUUAAUGGCACCAAUUCCUUUCAUCCCAGGACACACACACCCCUUUGAAAUGUGUCUCCAUCCAGAGGUGAAAUUUAUUUCCCCACCCCUUGGUCUGGGCUGGCCUCAUGGCUUGCUUGGACCAAUGCAUGUGCCGGAAGUGAAGCUGUGCAUGUUCCGGAGCCCAGACACCGGGGGCCCUUGCUGCCUCUGCACCCACCCCCUUGGGGCCCAGCCCAGCUGCACGUCAGAAGCCCAGGCUGCACUGCUAAAUGAUACGGGCUACUGCAGAGGGCGGCCCUGAGGCCACGUGGAGAGAGGCCCAGCUGGCCCCGCCAUCCCAGCAGAACCCAGGCCUGGCUGACCCACCAGUCAAGUGAGUGCGGCCGCGUGAGAGCAGCCGCACUGCCCAGCUGGCCCACAGAAUCAGGGGAAUCCAUCAGUUGUUCCUUUCAGCCACUAAAAAUCCACAUGGUUUGUUACCUGGCAAGAGACGCCUGAAGCAACUAGGCUUCAACAGUGAAAAAGCUAAAAAUACGCAUUUGUCUAAGGUCAUUUCAGAACCGCCGAGUCGGGCCAUCCACCCUGUCAUAUCUCUGAAGUUCUGGCUGCUGGAGCAGAAAUGUCUCCACGGCACGGGGAGGGAGCAUCAUGUGGUUAGCGACUGGCUCUAUCUCGCCCACGCUGCCUCCCCGGGGGCUCCGUCAAGGCCCCGAACAGUGGGUGCUCCAAAGUUGCCAGGUUGGUGAAAAACCAAAAGACUCUGGUGCCUGCGUCAUAGCAUAGCUCAGAAGACACCUCCCAUGUCCCCGUCGGGAAUCCCAUAGCAGAGAGUCCCAGCCAGGACAUCCAGCAAGGCCUCUCGGCCACGGGGCUAGCAGCGAGCAGGCCACACGUGUCCUGGCACUGUUGGCUGCACUCAGUCUGGGUGUGGUGGGGCUGUGCGAGAGAGAGCAAGGUGGUUGGGGUCUAGCGAUGGGUGGGGGGGGGGGGUGAGGCUUUGUUUCUUACUUUGUGCUUAAGUGAGCAAAACCCGCAGAAGCUCAGGGAGAGGAAUGUGCAAAAGGAAGGGAAAAGGAAACUACCAUUUGUCAACUACCUCCUAUUCCCCCGGAGGCAUUCUGUGAACUUCCUCUCCGCUCACAACCACCCAGAGAAACAGGAGGAUCGUCCCCAUUCAUAGAACCCGCAGCUGACUCACAGAGAAGGAUACAUCUGCCCAAGAUCACACAGCCAGCAGGUGACAGAGCUAGGAUUUGAACCCUGUUCCAUCUCUCCUAAAGUUCAUGCUUUUCCCUUAAUGCCCUCGCUACCCUAGAGAAAAGGGAGAAAAAAAAAAAAGGCAAGAUAGAAAGAGGCCCGGCUCGGGGAAAGUCACACAGAGCGAAAAAGAAAAAACGAGAGUGGAAAGAGCACGAGGCCGCAGCCGAGGCCUGGAGCGGGUCCUCGGGGAGCAGCAGAGGGCGGGGAUGGCCGGAAACCGGCUCACCGAACCUGGAGCCAAGAACCAUGCUUGGCCUGAGACCUGGUGGAAAAGCUCUCACCUCAAGAUAGUGAAGUGGGGGAAACUGGCGGGCCGGCGUGGGGGGAGGUGGGGGUGCAGGGUCUGCCCAGGAGGAGGGCAGCGUGGCCGGAUGGCCAGGGGGCUGCCAAGCAGGGUUCUUCACACAUCAUCCAGCUCAAAUAACCACCGAGGCUGCUCAGGCUGGCAGGCCCUUGCUCCCGGACGUGCAGAGCCGCAGGCUUGGAGGCCGCGAGGGAGGAAGCAAUGACCGGGCCUUCCUGGAACACUGGUUGUUCUUUGCACAAACGCCUGAGUGGGGCCCAUAAGUAGGGUGGCUGUAGUUUAUUCUCUGGACCGGGACAGCUGGGAGUGAGUAGGGACAACAAGCAUACAGACACAGGUAUAUAGGGUACCCAGCCUCGAGGGUCCUGUGUGGCUGGGCCUGGCCUGUGCCUGUGGCCGGCCCCCCUGCCCCCCACCCUCUUCGUGCACACUGGCCUUCCUCUGCAGACACGUAGGGCCUUGGCAUUGCCUGGAACAGCCCGCCCUAUGCCAUCACCACCUCUCCACACCCCUUCAUUGUUUCUACUCGCCUUCAGAACUCAGCUGAAGCCACACCGGUGCCUUCAAUAUAUCGUGUAUUUUCCUCCACAGCACCGAUGACAAUCACAGGCAUGAAAGAAAUUCUUAAUUAUGUAUUUGGUUGCUUAAAAGUCUGUCUCCCUUCCUAAGGGCAGGGCUGGGUCUGACUCACCCACUGUUGUAUCCUGGACACUCUAGCCAAAGGCCCCAGUGUAACGGUGAAUAAAUCAACUCCCAGGGCCCCCA